UGCAGUGUUUUUAUAACCUCAUGGUUGACUCCUCCUCCUUAGACACGCCCCGAAUGGCUUUCACAAUUGCGUCAGCGGGCUAGAUGAAUCACGUGCUUUCUAGAAGCUGAGCCUCAGUGGCCGCGAUCCAUUUCGUAUUAGCAAGACUCCGUUAAUUAUUUUACAGGGGCAAGAAGUGUAAACAGACACUGUUAAACUUUUAGACGAUUUUAUAUAGUCACAGGUUUAUUCGGAAACCCAUUUACAGAGUAAUUGCGGAAGUCUGCACACUUGCCCUGGUCUUACGAAGAAAGUAUUGAGAAGGAGGAAAUGCUCUGUCAUAAGUUACAGUAGAUGUGAUUUCUACGAAUUAAUCCUUCCCCGGGAGCUAAACAGUAAGCUUCAACUUCUCCAACUUGCACCCGUUUGGUAGCAAACAUUACGCAAGCGUACGGCUGACCGUCCCUCCCAUUCUAUCUGGCAGCACAUGUUGGUGUUUUCAAAGAGACACAAGAUCACACAGUGACGCGCAGGGGCUGGCACAGUGUUACGGAAUCCCCAUUAAAAGAAGUCUCGUGAUGUUAGGUCAUGGUGAACACGGAGGGUAUUCAACAAAAAUCCGUCCAAUCCACAUGUUUGACAAGAUCUCAUCAAGGAAGGAUCUAACAUUGUGAUGUUAGCGUGGGAGUGUCCCAUCUUGCUGAAAAUACUGGCUGCCAUCAUUUGGUUCAAUGGGUUCAAUAGAAGAUUAAUUUGGGUUCACUGGGUUCAAUGGGUUCAAUGUGUAAAGACAAAACAAACGAUUGAGUUAUCAGCUGCUAAAAGCUGUAUGCAUUUUUUUUUGGGGGGGGGGGGACACCCCGUAUUUUGUUUUUAUUUGAUCACUCUAACAUAUGUUGCAACUGAGCAAGAUUUUCUUGAAACAAAUAAUGACUUAACCUGACUUGCUUGA